rnacentral:rRNA from 1 species
AUUGAACGCUGGCGGCAGGCCUAACACAUGCAAGUCGAACGGUAACAGGAAGCAGCUUGCUGCUUUGCUGAUGAGUGGCGGGCGGGUGAGAAAUGUCUGGGAAACUGCCCGAUGGAGGGGGACAACUACUGGAAACGGUAGCUAAUACCGCAUAACGUCGCCAGACCAAAGAGGGGGACCUUAGGGCCUCUUGCCAUCGUAUGUGCCCAGGUGGGAUUAGCUAGUAGGGGGGGUAACGUCUCACCUAGGCGACGAUCCCUAGCUGGUCUGAGAGAAUGACCGGCCACACUAGAGCUGGGACAGGGACCAGACUCCUGCGGGACGGAGCAGUGGGGAAUAUUGCGCAAAGGGGGGAAGCCUGAUGCAACCAUGCCGCGUGUAUGAAGAAAGCCUUGGGGUUGUAAAGUACGUUCAGCGGGGGGGAAGGGAGUAAGGUUAAUACCUAUGCUCAUUGACGUUACCCGGAGAAGAAGCACCGGCUAACUACGUG